UGGCUCUCGCAUCGAUGAAGAACGCAGCGAAAUGCGAUAAGUAAUGUGAAUUGCAGAAUUCAGUGAAUCAUCGAAUCUUUGAACGCACCUUGCGCCUUUUGGUAUUCCGAAAGGCAUGCCUGUUUGAGUGUCAUGAAACCUCAAAUCCCCCGGGUCUUUCGGGACCCGACGGGGACUUGGACUUGGGCGUCUGCCGGACCCGUGCCGGCUCGCCUCAAAUGACUUAGUGGGAGCAGCGUCCCAUGACCUAGACGUGAUAAGUUUCGUCUGGUCCGGACGCGAGGCCCGCUCAGAACCACACAUAUCUUUUGACUCUGACCUCAAAUCAGGUAGGGCUACCCGCUGA
rnacentral:misc_RNA from 1 species